rnacentral:sRNA from 1 species
CUCUAACCCCGAUAGGAACGGCAUCCUUUUUUAUUGCGGCUGGAGCAAAGCGGAAGCCGUAAUAAAAAAGAUGCAGCACUUCGACAGGCUCAGCA